rnacentral:rRNA from 1 species
CACGGAGUUAGCCGGGGCUUCCUUUAGCGGUACCGUCAGCCAUUCCAGAUGUUAGCUGGAUAGGUGUUCGUCCCGCUCGACAGGAGUUUACGACCCGAAGAUCUUCAUCCUCCACGCGGCGUUGCGUCGUCAGGCUUGCGCCCAUUGCGAACAAUUCCCCACUGCUGCCUCCCGUAGGAGUCCUGGGCCGUGUCUCAGUCCCAGUGUGUCCGUCCGCCCUCUCAGGCCCGGAUACUGAUCGUUGCCUUGGUAGGCCAUUACCCUACCAACUAGCUAAAUCAGACGCGGGCCCCUCUCCAAGCGCCAGGUCUUGCGAUCCCCGGCUUUGAUCUCCACCUUUCCAAAGGCAGGAUGUUAUGCGGUAUUAGCGUCCCUUUCGGGACGUUAUCCCCCACUCUGAGGCAGGUCACCACGUGUUACUCACCCGUUUGCCACUCUAUCAGGGUAUUGCUCCCCUUUCGCGUUCCGACUUGCAUGUGUUAGGCACGCCGCCAGCGUUGA